UACAGAGGGUGCAAGCGUUAAUCGGAAUUACUGGGCGUAAAGCGCGCGUAGGUGGUUCGUUAAGUUGGAUGUGAAAGCCCCGGGCUCAACCUGGGAACUGGCAUUCAAAACUGACGAGCUAGAGUAUGGUAGAGGGUGGUGGAAUUUCCUGUGUAGCGGUGAAAUGCGUAGAUAUAGGAAGGAACACCAGUGGCGAAGGCGACCACCUGGACUGAUACUGACACUGAGGUGCGAAAGCGUGGGGAGCAAACAGGA
rnacentral:rRNA from 1 species